rnacentral:rRNA from 1 species
CCCUUAGAUGUCCGGGGCCGCACGCGCGCUACACUGAAGGAAUCAGCGUGGCUUUCUCCCUGACCCGAAAGGGUUGGGAAACCCGUUGAAUCUCCUUCGUGAUAGGGAUUGGGGCUUGAAAUUGUUCCCCAUGAACGAGGAAUUCCCAGUAAGCGCGAGUCAUAAGCUCGUGUUGAUUACGUCCCUGCCCUUUGUACACACCGCCCGUCGCUCCUACCGAUUGAAUGUUCCGGUGAGCUCUUCGGACUGCGCGGUCUGCAGUUUCUGCGUUCCGUGCGGAAAGUUGCGCAAACCUUAACAUUUAGAGGAAGGAGAAGUCGUAACA